UACGUAGGGCGCAAGCGUUGUCCGGAAUUACUGGGCGUAAAGGGCUCGUAGGCGGCCAACUAAGUCAGACGUGAAAUCCCUAGGCUCAACCUAGGAACUGCGUCUGAUACUGGAUGGCUUGAAUCCGGGAGAGGGAUGCAGAAUUCCAGGUGUAGCGGUGAAAUGCGUAGAUAUCUGGAGGAAUACCGGUGGCGAAGGCGGCAUCCUGGACCGGCAUUGACGCUGAGGAGCGAAAGCCAGGGGAGCAAACGGG
rnacentral:rRNA from 1 species